rnacentral:rRNA from 1 species
UACAGAGGGUGCGAGCGUUAAUCGGAAUUACUGGGCGUAAAGCGCGCGUAGGCGGCUUUGCAAGUCGGGUGUGAAAUCCCCAGGCUCAACCUGGGAACUGCAUUCGAGACUGCAUUGCUAGAGUAUGGGAGAGGGAAGUGGAAUUUCAGGUGUAGCGGUGAAAUGCGUAGAUAUCGGGAGGAACACCAAUGGCGAAGGCAGCUCGCUGGGACGGUACUGACGCUGAGACGCGAAAGCGUGGGGAGCAAACAGG